UACGGGGGGGGCAAGCGUUGUUCGGAAUUACUGGGCGUAAAGGGCGCGUAGGCGGCCUGCUAAGUCGGACGUGAAAUCCCUCGGCUUAACCGAGGAACUGCCGUCCAAACUGCUUUGCUUGAGGCCGGGAGAGGCGAGUGGAAUUCCCAGUGUAGCGGUGAAAUGCGUAGAUAUCGGGAGGAAUACCUAUGGCGAAGGCAGGUUACUGGGCCAUCACUGACGCUGAGCUGCGAAAGCUAGGGGAGCAAACAGG
rnacentral:rRNA from 1 species